GACAGAGGGUGCAAACGUUGUUCGGAAUUACUGGGCGUAAAGCGCGUGUAGGCGGUUCAGUAAGUCUGCUGUGAAAGUCCAGGGCUCAACCCUGGGAUGCCGGUGGAUACUGCUGGGCUAGAGUACGGAAGAGGCGAGUGGAAUUCCCGGUGUAGCGGUGAAAUGCGCAGAUAUCGAGAGGAACACCUGCGGCGAAGGCGGGUUGCUGGGCUGAUACUGACGCUGAGGCGCGAAAGCCAGGGAGCGAACGGG
rnacentral:rRNA from 1 species